AAGGAUUGUCUUGGCUUUCGCACCGACCAGUGGUGCGACGCCGACACCGAUCGUCGUCUGGAGCAGGCCAUUGAGACGGCGCUAGUCGCUGUCCCGCCAGAGCAGAGCUCCGAAGCCGGAAAUCCUCGACUGUUUCCCCUAAUCUUCGACGCAUACAAAGUGACCGGGUUGAACUUGCUGCGUCGACAGGGGCCCUUACAGACGGACUGCGGCAAUGGAAGUCAGGUCGUCAACUUUGACUUGGCCGCUUCAGAAGGCCCGAUCUUGUGCUCAUUCCAUUGGAAAGCGGGUGGCAAUGUUUCCCUCAACCUGGCUGCUUACGGCGUGCGGGUGAAGACGCAGCUAAAGUUCGUCCAGGGAAUUCCCACUGGUGGCCUCGGUACAGUCAGGAAAAUUCUCGA